rnacentral:rRNA from 1 species
AUUCCAGCUCCAAUAGCGUAUAUUAAAGUUGUUGCCGUUAAAAAGCUCGUAGUUGGAUUUCUGGCUUGAAUCGCCCGUCCCAUCGCCUGAUGGCGUAUGCGUGACGAUGGUGUAUUCGGUCAUCCGCUCAUCACGGAGUUUGUACCCUUCAUUGGGCCGCAGAUUUCCGGUUGAGCCAUUUACUUUGAAAAAAUUAGAGUGUUUAAAGCAGGCAUUUGCUGUGAAUACAUUAGCAUGGAAUAAUAAUAUAGGACUUUUGUUCUAUUUUGUUGGUUUCCUGAACGGAAGUAAUGAUUGAUAGGGAUAGUUGGGGGUGCUAGUAUUCCACGGCCAGAGGUGAAAUUCUUGGAUUCGUGGAAGACUAACUUAUGCGAAAGCAUUCACCAAGGAUAUCUUCAUUA